CGAGGCGGUUUUUGUAAGACUGUCGUGAAAUCCCCCGGGCUCAACCUGGGAAUGGCGAUGGUGACUGCAAGGCUAGAGUUUGGCAGGAGGGGGGGUAGAAUUCCACGUGUAGCAGUGAAAUGCGUAGAUAUGUGGAGGAACACCGAUGGCGAAGGCACGCCCCCUGGGUCAAAAACUGACGCUCAUGCAACGAAAGCGGUGGGGAGACAAACAGGAUUAGAUACCCCGGU
rnacentral:rRNA from 1 species